UACGUAGGGUGCGAGCGUUGUCCGGAAUUACUGGGCGUAAAGGGCUCGUAGGCGGCCAACUAAGUCAUACGUGAAAUCCCUCGGCUUAACCGGGGAACUGCGUCUGAUACUGGAUGGCUUGAGUUCGGGAGAGGGAUGCGGAAUUCCAGGUGUAGCGGUGAAAUGCGUAGAUAUCUGGAGGAACACCGGUGGCGAAGGCGGCAUCCUGGACCGAUACUGACGCUGAGGAGCGAAAGCCAGGGGAGCAAACGGG
rnacentral:rRNA from 1 species